rnacentral:rRNA from 1 species
UACGUAGGGGGCAAGCGUUAUCCGGAUUUACUGGGUGUAAAGGGAGCGUAGACGGCAGAGCAAGUCAGAUGUGAAAUCCGGGGGCUCAACCCCCGAACUGCAUUUGAAAUUGUUGGUCUUGAGUAUCGGAGAGGCAGGCGGAAUUCCUAGUGUAGCGGUGAAAUGCGUAGAUAUUAGGAGGAACACCAGUGGCGAAGGCGGCCUGCUGGACGACAACUGACGGUGAGGCGCGAAAGCGUGGGGAGCAAACAGG